AGAGUUUGAUCAUGGCUCAGGACGAACGCUGGCGGCGUGCCUAACACAUGCAAGUCGAACGGGACCGGGGGCAACUCCGGUUCAGUGGCGGACGGGUGCGUAACACGUGAGGAACAUGACCUUCGGCGGGGGAUAGCCGGCCCAACGGCCGGGUAAUACCGCGUACGACCAUUUGGGGACAUCCCCGAGUGGUGAAAGCAGCAAUGCGCCGAUGGAGUGCCUCGCGGCCUAUCAGCUAGUUGGUGGGGUAACGGCCUACCAAGGCGACGACGGGUAGCUGGUCUGAGAGGAUGGCCAGCCACAUUGGGACUGAGACACGGCCCAGACUCCUACGGGAGGCAGCAGUGGGGAAUAUUGCGCAAUGGACGAAAGUCUGACGCAGCGACGCCGCGUGUGGGAUGACGGUCUUCGGAUUGUAAACCACUGUCGGGAGGGACGAAUACGCCGCAAGGCGGGUGACGGUACCUCCAAAGGAAGCACCGGCUAACUCCGUGCCAGCAGCCGCGGUAAUACGGAGGGUGCGAGCGUUGUCCGGAAUCACUGGGCGUAAAGGGCGCGUAGGCGGCCUGAUAAGUAGGGGGUGAAAUCCUGCGGCUUAACCGCAGGGCUGCCUUCUAAACUGUCAGGCUCGAGCACAGUAGAGGCAGGUGGAAUUCCCGGUGUAGCGGUGGAAUGCGUAGAGAUCGGGAAGAACAUCAGUGGCGAAGGCGGCCUGCUGGGCUGUUGCUGACGCUGAGGCGCGACAGCGUGGGGAGCAAACAGGAUUAGAUACCCCCGUAGUCC
rnacentral:rRNA from 1 species